UAACUAUGACUCUCUUAAGGUAGCC
rnacentral:ncRNA from 8 species